rnacentral:lncRNA from 1 species
AGUGUUUGAUGUCAAAAACAAAUGAUGUAAAGUAAGUAAAUCCAAGGGAUGCAUUGUCCUGAACUCAUCUUCUAUAUUUUUUUUUUUUUUAUCAGCAAAUAACAAUGAACUCAUCUUCUAUAUACUCCGAGUUAAUGGUCAAUGCUUUGAUCAUGUCUAUAGUUUAUCACCAUAAAAGUUAAUUUGAUUCUUACAUAUAUGUUUCUCUUUUUGUUGUUUUUUAUUGAAAGAAAAAUAAUAAGAGAUUCCAAUGGAAGGAAGAAGUGAGGAAAAAAAUGCAGGCAAAUAAGGAGGGAAGACGUUUUUCAUUCU